rnacentral:ncRNA from 2 species
UUGUUAUCAAGAAAGGUGGAGGGAGUAGACCCGAUGAAACCUUAGCAACCCUUUAUCUGUUAAAGAAGGUGCUACAUUCUAUCCUGAAAUUCAGGAAAAGAUAACCC